rnacentral:tRNA from 1 species
GGUUGUGGUUCAGUGGUAGAGCGCUCGCCUCGAAUAUGCAAGACCCUGGGUUCGAUCCUCAGCACCA